UACAGAGGAGCCAAGCGUUGUCCGGAUUGACUGGGCGUAAAGCGCACGCAGGCGGAUGCGCGCGUGGGGUGUGAAAUCUGGCCGCUUAACGGCCAGGCGCCAUCCCAUACGGCGCGUCUGGAGUGAUGCAGAGGUCGGUGGAAUUGCCGGUGUAGUGGUGAAAUGCGUAGAGAUCGGCAGUAACACCCAGGGGGAAACCAGCCGACUGGGCAUCUACUGACGCUGAGGUGCGAGAGCGUGGGGAGCGAACCGG
rnacentral:rRNA from 1 species